UACGUAGGGGGCAAGCGUUGUCCGGAAUUAUUGGGCGUAAAGCGCGCGCAGGCGGUCAUUUAAGUCUGGUGUUUAAUCCUGGGGCUCAACCCCAGUUCGCAUCGGAAACUGGAUGACUUGAGUGUAGGAGAGGAAAGUGGAAUUCCACGUGUAGCGGUGAAAUGCGUAGAGAUGUGGAGGAACACCAGUGGCGAAGGCGACUUUCUGGUCCUAUAACUGACGCUGAGG
rnacentral:rRNA from 1 species